rnacentral:rRNA from 1 species
UGCAAGUCGAGGGGCAGCAUGUCCCGCAGCAAUGCGGGAUGAUGGCGACCGGCAAACGGGUGCGGAACACGUACACAACCUUCCUUUAAGCGGGGAAUAGCCCGGGGAAACCCGGAUUAAUACCCCAUAGUAUAUUGAAGAGGCAUCUCUUUAAUAUUAAAGAUUUAUCACUUGAAGAUGGGUGUGCGGCUGAUUAGCUAGUUGGCGGGGUAACGGCCCACCAAGGCAACGAUCAGUAACUGGUGUGAGAGCACGACCAGUCACACGGGCACUGAGACACGGGCCCGACUCCUACGGGAGGCAGCAGUAAGGAAUAUUGGUCAAUGGACGCAAGUCUGAACCAGCCAUGCCGCGUGGAGGAUGAAGGUCCUCUGGAUUGUAAACUUCUUUUAUCUGGGACGAAAAAAGAUCUUUCUAGAUCAACUGACGGUACCAGAUGGAUAAGCACCGGCUAACUCCGUGCCAGCAGCCGCGGUAAUACGGAGGGUGCAAGCGUUAUCCGGAUUCACUGGGUUUAAAGGGUGCGUAGGUGGAUUGGUAAGUCAGUGGUGAAAUCUCCGGGCUUAACCCGGAAACUGCCAUUGAUACUAUCAGUCUUGAAUACCGUGGAGGUCAGUAGAAUAUGUCAUGUAGCGGUGAAUGCUUAGAUAUGACAUAGAAUACCAAUUGCGAGGCAGCUGGCUACACGAAUAUUGACACUCAGGCACGAAAGCGUGGGGAUCAAACAGGAUUAAUACCCUGGUCCACGCCCUAA